UACAGAGGGGGCAAGCGUUAUUCGGAAUUAUUGGGCGUAAAGGGCGCGUAGGCGGCAUGGCAAGUGGAUGGUGAAAUCCCUCGGCUUAACCGAGGAACUGCCGUCCAAAACUGCUUCGCUUGAGACCGGGAGAGGUGAGUGGAAUUCCCAGUGUAGCGGUGAAAUGCGUAGAUAUUGGGAGGAACACCAGUGGCGAAGGCGGCUCACUGGACCGGUACUGACGCUGAUGCGCGAAAGCGUGGGGAGCAAACGGGG
rnacentral:rRNA from 1 species